rnacentral:lncRNA from 1 species
GGAACAUAUAUUCCCAACACCUGACAUGCAGAUAACCUACAGUUAUAUUUUUAGCAAUUAAGUAGUUAUUUGUAUCAUUCACUAUAACUGUUUGAAUUACAUUUAUUGUGAUGAUGAAACUGAAUGGAUUAGAGUAUGUGAACAGAAAUGAGAAUGGCAAUACCAAUUGUACCUCUAUUGAACCCCAACCUAUAGUUUAUAUAGGCUGAGAAUAACAGAAAACGUUACCACUGCCUUAGGUAGUGGUAACGUUAAUUACAAAGUUAAUUACAGAAAUAAAUGCUAAAAAUAACUAGGGCUAAUAACUAACUACAGCUAAUUAGUUAAUUACAGAAACUAAUUCUAUUCACUUUAACAGUCCCCCUCAAACUUAUGUGAUUGUAAACACAAGUUUGGGCUGCAACUUCAUGAAAAAUGUGGGUUUUAGAGGCUUGGUCAGGAUAUCAGCCAGCUGCCUUUCACCCUCUACGUGCAACACCUGUAAUGAACCCAUCUCUGUUCUUUCUUUAAUGAAGUUGAAGUCGAUGGCAGUAUGUUUCAUUUUAGUGUGACAUACUGGAUUUUGAGCUAUGAACGUAGCACUUAGAUUGUCGCAGUACAACUUCAUAGGCAAUGGAACCUCCACUCCCAAUUCUGUAAGUAAUGCUCUCACGGCCUCAACAUGUUCUACUGUAGUGCCUACAGCUCUAUAUUCUGCCUCUGUGGUGGAUCUAGACACUGUAGUUUGCUUAGUUGAUGCCCAAGCAACUAAAGUUCCACCUAUGAAAAUCAAGAAACCAGUCUGACUUUUUCUAUCACUUAUAUCUCCUGCCCAAUCUGCAUCUGAGUAUGCUGUAAUAGAAAAAUCAGUGGUUUUUCUCAAUAUUAUACCAGUGUCUUGUGUUCCAGAUAGAUAUCUUAAUAAUUUCUUGACUGCCACCCAAUGAGUCUUAGUUGGAGCUGCAAGAAACUGAGAGAGUUUAUUCACUGCAAAUUGUAUAUCUGGCCUGGUCAGAGUUAAAUACUGUAGUGUGCCAAUAAUUCUCCUGUAUUCACCGUGAUUUGAUACUGGUUCAUCUUCUUUAAAAAGAUCUUUUAAGUCUCCCAUAGGAGUGCUUGAGGGUUUGAGAUGCUCAAACUUGCAACUCCUCAACAGAUUACACAAAUACUGUUGCUGUGAGAGAAAAAGACCUUCUUCGACUGGUUUAACUGAAAUGCCCAGAAAAUAAUUCAGAUCUCCAAGUUCCCUCAAAGUGAACUCAUCACUCAUCUUCUUAAUGAUAUUAGUCACUGUCUCCUUAUCUGAUCCAGUGAUGACAAUAUCAUCCACAUACACAAAUAAAUAUGCCUUGCUCUCUCCAUGAAUAAGGAUAAACAAGGAUGGAUCUGUGGAACACUCCUUGAAAUGAAUGGACACCAAGAAAUCCCUGAGUCUUCUAUACCACAUUCUUGGAGAUUGUUUGAGACCAUAUAGUGACUUCUGCAACAAACACACAUGAUCUGGAAGCUCUGGAUCAAUGAAACCAGCAGGUUGUGACACCACAAUCCUCUCAUCUAGCUUUCCAUGUAAAAAUGCGUUGGAAAUGUCUAAUUGCUUCAAAUCCCAGCCAUUAGAGAUUGCCAAUGUUAACACAAUCCUUAUGGAGUUAGCUUUCACAACCGGGCUAAAAGUGUGUGUGUAAUCCGAACCCUCAAUCUGCCUCAUGCCAUUUGCCACUAGCCUAGCCUUGAACCUUUCGACAGUGCCAUCAUCUUUAGAUUUUACUUUGAACACCCAUUUGGUAUUAAUUAUGUUAUCAUUGGGUGAUCUAGGAAUGAGCUUCCAUGUCUGAUUCUCUAUUAGCGCAUUAAACUCUUCUUGCAUUGCUUGUUUCCAUUGAGGAACCUUAAGAGCGAAUUUUGUAGACCUUGGAACUGGGAUCUUGCUAGCUUCCACAGAGAGAUUGAAUUUCGGAUUAUAUUUCAGGGAUUUAACAAUCCCACUGGCUGCCCUGGUAUGUCUCAUACUUACUUCUGGAAUCUCAUCCUCAUCUCCACUGUCAGAAGGAGUCGGAGAAGGGUCAUACUCUGAACCGGACACAAUAGGAGAGCCUUCCAAGGAGGGAGCAAUGGUCUGAUUGAGUGAAGGAACCCCCAGAAUAUUCAGACUUGACGAGCUCGGAUCUGUGGAGGGACUAAGGACUAUAUCCUCAUCGGAUGUCGAAUGACUCUCCCUACUUAUGAUGGGAGGCUCCCCCUCGACGGUCAUCGGAGAAGAGAUUUCGUCGGAGAUUUCCACAUUUUUACCCGAGUUUUCCUCAACUGCCGGUCGAACUUCGUUUGAAGUUGGUUCAACCGAGACUGAAACCGGUUCAACCGAAUCUGAGCCGCAACUAUACCCUCCAGGAGCUUGUUCUACCACUCUCAUGUCCACUGUUACCAUGGGAUGUUGUUCAUUCUGUGAUGAGCUCUCCCUGAGAUAUUUGCUCAGCGAAAAAUCACCUUCGACAAAUGUAACAUCUCUUGAAGUGUAGAUUCGUGAUUCAACUGGAUCGAAACAAAGAUAACCAUCUUGAUUACAUGGAUAGCCAAGGAAUAUGCAAGCUUUUGACUUAGGAGACAGCUUGUUUUCCCUGUAAUCUCUCAGACAAGGGUAGCAUUUUGAGCCAAAGACUCUUAGCUUAUGGUAAUUCGGAGCAACCUGACUUAAAACCUCCAUAGGUGACAAUUCCCCCAAUGUCUGUGAAGGAUUCAAGUUGUAUAGGAAACCUGCUGUUAGGACUGCAAAAGACCAGAAUUUAUCAGGCAAAGAACAGAAAUCCAAUAAAGUUACAGCAGUGUCUAUAAUAUGCCUAUGCCGCCUCUCUACUGAUCCCAUCUGUUGGUGGCUGUAUGGAACUGAAAAUCUGUGCUGAAUUCCCAAUGUAGAGAGAUGCUUGGAGAGUUUCUUGAACUCCAGAGCAUUAUCAGUUUGUAGUUGCUUUAUAGGGUGACCACAUUGAAGCUCAACCAUUUUCCUGAACCUUUCAAAUACUUCUGUAACCUGAGAUUUAUUUGUCAGCAAAUAUAUCCAAUUGUAGCCACUGUAAGCGUCUACAAAAUUAAUGAAAUAUUUGAAUCCGUCCAUAGAAUAAACUGGAGAGGGACCCCAAAUAUCCGCAUGUAUUAAUUCCAAAGGGCAGUUGUACACGGAUUUUGUAGUUUUAUGUGGAAGAGCAUGUGACUUGCCAAUGUGACAUGACUCACAAUCAACUACUUUAUUACAACUGGAAUUAAUACUACCCCUUCGAAUUAAAGCUAAAACAGAUCUGAAAUUCAGAUGCCCCAGGCGGCAGUGCCAAACUUCACUUGAAACUUUAGACCUCUCCACCAUAGAAGCCUCCAAAGGCUGUUUUAUUGAAAAAGAAAUUGGAUAAAAACCAUCUUCCUCCUGAUCCACAGCAAGUACCCUCCUAGUUUUUUGAUCCCUGACCUUGGCUUUCUGUUCAUCAAAUUCCACAGACACAUGAUUAUCCUUGCAAAAGUUUUUAACAGAAACUAGAUUUCUAUUUGCAUCAGGUACAACUAACACAUCUUUCAACACAAAAUUAGAAUCCUGAUGUGUGAAAAUAGCAUCACCACAGUGAGUGAUCUCCAUACCUUCUCCAUUCGCUGUCCUCAUACAAUCAGAUCCUGUGUAUGGCCUAAUAGAGUGAAGAUUAUUACCUGAUUGAGUCACACUAGCAGUAGCAGCUGUGUCGUGAUACCAUCGGGCAUUGCCUCCAUAACCAGUGCUGAUCAAGGUUUAAAAACCGGUUAACCGGUAACCGGUUCUGGCUUACCGGUUUUCCGGUUAGACCGGUUAACCGGUGGUUAACCGGUAGGGGUAUUUUCGUAAUUUUUUUUAAAAAACAGAAAUUAUGUUAUAUACUUAUAUAUCUAUUCCAUGUUUAUAUCCAUGUUUAUAAUAAUUCAAAAUAGUCAUUCAAAAUAGUAAUGCAAAUAAGUAAUUAAUUCCAUAAUGUAAUUCAAAAUAUCCUAAGCCUAAGAUAUCUAUAAGGAGUAAGAUUUAAACUUAUUAAAAUAAAGCCUUGAAAUGAGGUUUUAAUAAAUUAAACAUAAUGGGCUUUAUUAAAUAAAGCCCAUAAGGGAAUUAUUUAUAACUGAGACGGGUAACCGGGUCGGGUACGGGGCAGACCCGCCCCAUCGACCCAUUUACCCGUUCCAACUAACCGGUCACCGGUUAGUUGGAUUUUACCGGUCAGCCGGUUAACCGGCGGUUAACCGCCGGUUUUUAAACCUUGGUGCUGAUCAUGUUGACCGAAGACUCUUUGCUAGUGUUCUCAUAAGGACCAUUUGGAGACAAGGUUCUGCGAUGAUCUGGAGGGUAUUUGCUAAGGUUAAUCCUGUUGUAGCAAUUCUUCGCAGAAUGUCCCUUCUUAGAGCAAAUUUGACACCAUAGAUCUCUUCCACCAGAUCUGGAAGAUCCAACAGCAGCUCUUCCCACAGUAUUAACCUCAGGGUUGGGAACAGCUACAGUAUCUGGUUUAUGAUCGAGAAGAAGCUGCUGGAAAUUAAGGAAAGUCAUAUUGUGAUCAAACCUUGUUGUGAUCGAAGUCUUGAAUGCAUGAAAUUCAGAUCCAAGACCACCCAGAGCAAUGAGAAUUAUCUGAGAAUCCUUCAUCUUCUCACCGGCACAUGCUAACUGAUCUCUCAUCAGUGUGAUCUUUUUCAGAUAUUCGAUCACAGAUAAAUUCUCCUUCCUGAUUGAUUGAAGACUGUGCCUCAGGAGCAGCAAUCUGGUCUCAGAUCCAGAAGCAAAUAGGGAUUGCAGCGCAUCCCAUACUUGUGCGGAUGUAUCGAGGGCAGCAACCUGAGGCAUUAUCGUUGGAGAUAAUGAGGUGUAGAUCCAGUUCUUGAUCAACGAAUCCUGCUGUUCCUCGAGGGAAUCGGCUGUGAUAGAAACCUUCCCCUGAAUGUAUUUGGUCAGUCCAUGACCCUUCAGCAUCGUCAGAAACUGAGAAUUCCAGCUGAAGAAAUUAGUGCCGUCGAAUACCGGACACUUGGGACUCUUGAUCUUCGUUACCGUGAACGAAGACUGCGACAGAAGGGCGCCAUCCUCGGGAGCAGCGGAAGUAGAAUCGGUGAUAUUGGCGGAUGAUACCAUAUUGUGAUGAUAAAACUGAAUGGAUUAGAGUAUGUGAACAGAAAUGAGAAUGGCAAUACCAAUCGUACCUUUAUUGAACCCCAACCUAUAGUUUAUAUAGGUUGAGAAUAACAGAAAACGUUACCACUGCCUUAGGUAGUGGUAACGUUAAUUACAAAGUUAAUUACAGAAAUAAAUGCUAAAAAUAACUAGGGCUAAUAACUAACUACAGCUAAUUAGUUAAUUACAGAAACUAAUUCUAUUCACUUUAACAUUAACUUUGGCUUCUUCUAGUGCUUUCAUUGUCCGUGUCCUAUGAUUAUUGCGAAUGAUAAUUCUGAUAUCACCGAUGAUAAUUAUGAUCAUGGCAGCAAACUAGCAAUUGUUCCCUUAUAUUAUGUACAGUCAAUAAUAUAUGAUCGUUGGCAUAAGUGACGAAGUAAAUGCCCAUGACAUAUUGUUGUUACUAUUAUAUGAUUUUGAGCAGUCACAUCCCUCUCAUUAG